AGGGUGUAGAAUAGGUGGGAGAGCAAUCGCCGGUGAAAUACCACUACCUUUAUAGUUUUUUUACUUAUUCAAUGAAGCGGAACUGGGUUUUACCGCCCAACUUCUAGCAUUAAGGUCAUUUACUGGCCGAUCCGGGUUGAAGACAUU
rnacentral:ncRNA from 1 species